rnacentral:rRNA from 1 species
UACGUAGGGGGCAAGCGUUGUCCGGAAUCACUGGGCGUAAAGCGCGCGCAGGCGGCUGUCUACGUCCGGGGUGAAAGCCCAGAGCUCAACUCUGGGAUUGCCUUGGAUACGGGGAUGGCUUGAGGAUCGGAGAGGCAAGGGGAAUUCCACGUGUAGCGGUGAAAUGCGUAGAUAUCUGGAGGAACACCGGUGGCGAAGGCGGCAUCCUGGACCGACACUGACGCUGAGGCGCGAAAGCUAGGGGAGCAAACGGG